rnacentral:rRNA from 1 species
AGAAUGAACGCUGGCGGCGUGCUUAACACAUGCAAGUCGAACGAGAAAGUGGAGCAAUCCAUGAGUAAAGUGGCGCACGGGUGAGUAACACGUGACUAACCUACCCUUGAGUGGGGGAUAACCUAGAGAAAUCUGGGCUAAUACCGCAUAAUACCUUCGGGUCAAAGGAGCAAUUCGCUUAAGGAGGGGGUCGCGGCCGAUUAGUUAGUUGGCGGGGUAAUGGCCCACCAAGACUAUGAUCGGUAUCCGGCCUGAGAGGGCGCACGGACACACUGGAACUGAAACACGGUCCAGACUCCUACGGGAGGCAGCAGUGGGGAAUUUUGCGCAAUGGGGGAAACCCUGACGCAGCAACGCCGCGUGGAGGAUGAAGUCCCUUGGGACGUAAACUCCUUUCGAUCGGGACGAUUAUGACGGUACCGGAAGAAGAAGCCCCGGCUAACUUCGCGCCAGCAGCCGC